UUUAUUUUUUUUUUUUUUCCGCCAAAUUUUGUUCUUGCGAUAAAUGUUUGUUUCGCAAUAUGUCGCUUAGAUUUUUUUCAUAUUGUAUCGUAUAGUUUAUGCGCUUUUAAAUUUCACCCUGCUAAGCCGAACCAUUUUCUUUGUAAGAGUUAUCUCCCUAUUCACUGUUUGUCAUGUGUGUGCAUCUCCUUCGUAACAAAAAAAGAUAGCGACAAAAUUCUUUUUACAAAUUGUUCGUUACAUCCUCAGGAAUUUUUGGCUAAUUUGGAUCGAAGCGAUUCGAUGAAAUUUUAUAGGAGUUAUCUACCUUUACGGAAUAAAUUUGUCGGUAUGUUUUUUUUAACUCAUAAACCGUUAACCGUAUAACCCUGGAAUGUUUUUAUUUGAGUCCCCUGGGUCCUAACUUAGAAAAUUAGGUCAAGGUCAAAGGUCAAGGUCAUAUUUUAGAUUUUCAUAUGUCUUUGAUUUCCCUAUAAUUCUUGAAUGGUUAUAGAUACAGAAAAUUUAAGCAGUGAAAAAUGUUCAGUACUUCAAGGGGCA
rnacentral:lncRNA from 1 species